UACAGAGGGGGCAAGCGUUGUUCGGAAUUACUGGGCGUAAAGGGCGCGUAGGCGGCCCGCUAAGUCGAACGUGAAAUCCCCGGGCUCAACCCGGGAACUGCGUCCGAUACUGGUGGGCUUGAAUCCGGGAGAGGGAUGCGGAAUUCCAGGUGUAGCGGUGAAAUGCGUAGAUAUCUGGAGGAACACCGGUGGCGAAGGCGGCAUCCUGGACCGGUAUUGACGCUGAGGCGCUAAAGCCAGGGGAGCAAACGGG
rnacentral:rRNA from 1 species